GAUGAACGCUGGCGGCGUGCCUAAUACAUGCAAGUCGAGCGAACAGACGAGGAGCUUGCUCCUCUGACGUUAGCGGCGGACGGGUGAGUAACACGUGGAUAACCUACCUAUAAGACUGGGAUAACUUCGGGAAACCGGAGCUAAUACCGGAUAACAUGUUGAACCGCAUGGUUCAACAGUGAAAGACGGUCUUGCUGUCACUUAUAGAUGGAUCCGCGCCGCAUUAGCUAGUUGGUAAGGUAACGGCUUACCAAGGCAACGAUGCGUAGCCGACCUGCGAGGGGGCUCGGCCACACUGGGACUGCGACCCGGUCCAGACUACUACGGGAGGCAGCAGUAGGGAAUCUUCCGCAAGGGGCGGAAGACUGACGGAGAAACGCCGCGUGAGUGAAGAAGGUUUUCGGAUCGUAAAGCUCUGUUGUAAGAGAAGAAAGAGUGUGAGAGUGGAAAGUUCACACUGUGACGGUAACUUACCAGAAAGGGACGGCUAACUACGUG
rnacentral:rRNA from 1 species